ACACCUCAACUCUCAUGGCCUUGCCAUGACGAGCUUGGACUUUGGGGGUCUUGCUGGCCUAUGGUCAGCUCCUCUCAAAUGAAUUAGCUUCCCAGUGUUUGGUUGGCAUCGCAGGUGUGAUAACUAUCUACGCUUGUUGUUUCCACCAGGUAACCUUCAGUAACAUGGGGGUUCGCUGGAGCUCAUAAAUGUCUCUCCUCAGUGGGGACAGCUCUUUGAAC
rnacentral:misc_RNA from 1 species